UACGUAGGAGACGAGCGUUGUCCGGAGUUACUGGGCGUAAAGGGUGCGCAGGUGGCGGCGCGCGUGGGGGGGUGAAAUCGCCCGGCUUAACUGGGCGGGGGCCUUCCAGACGGCGUGGCUUGAGCAGCGGAGGGGGACGUGGAAUUCCUGGUGUAGCGGUGAAAUGCGCAGAUAUCAGGAGGAACACCGGUGGCGAAGGCGGGUCUCUGGGCCAAUACUGACGCUGAGGAGCGAAAGCGUGGGGAGCGAACAGG
rnacentral:rRNA from 1 species